UACGGAGGGUGCAAGCGUUAUCCGGAUUCACUGGGGUUAAAGGGUGCGUAGGCGGAUAAGUAAGUCAGUGGUGAAAUCUCCGAGCUUAACUCGGAAACUGCCGUUGAUACUAUUUGUCUUGAAUAUUGUGGAGGUAAGCGGAAUAUGUCAUGUAGCGGUGAAAUGCUUAGAUAUGACAUAGAACACCAAUUGCGAAGGCAGCUGACUACACAAUGAUUGACGCUGAGGCACGAAAGCGUGGGGAUCAAACAGG
rnacentral:rRNA from 1 species